AUUGAACGCUGGCGGCAGGCCUAACACAUGCAAGUCGAGCGAGCGGCGGACGGGUGAGUAAUGUCUGGGAAACUGCCUGAUGGAGGGGGAUAACUACUGGAAACGGUAGCUAAUACCGCAUACCAUCAGAUGUGCCCAGAUGGGAUUAGCUAGUAGGUGGGGAAACGGCUCACCUAGGCGACGAUCCCUCGCUGGUCUGAGAGGAUGACCGGCCACACGGGGAUGGAGACACGGGCCAGACUCCGACGGGAGGCAGCAGUGGGGAAUAUUGCACAAUGGGCGCAAGCCUGAUGCAGCCAUGCCGCGGGUGUGAAGAAGGCCUUCGGGUUGGAAAGCACUUUCGGCGGGGAGGCGUUACCCGAAGAGGAAGCACCGGCUAACUCCGUGCCAGCAGCCGCGGUAAUAC
rnacentral:rRNA from 1 species